AAUUUGGUAUUUGUUGACAUUGAUAUUCGUUUAAUCAUUUUUUGCUCCACUUGAUUAAGCUUUGUCAGCUCUGAUGUAUUAUGCAUAGCUUAAAACUGACAGAACAUUACAUCCUUCUUUGCCUAAAGGGCAUAUGUGUGUAAGUUUGGGAGACAUACUGGGGAAAUCACUUAAUUCAAAUUCAUUACACAUUAUUACAUUUCUGUUAAGUUACAUCUCUGCAAUAUCACCCACUCCUUCUAUUCACAUCACAGCCCACAAGCCAAGCUUAGUACUGAUGUGAGUCAGAGAAAGACACUGCAUCAUCUGCAGCUUUAGCAAGCAAACUGCAGGUUUCUGAUUGACCAAUAGGGGUCAAUGAGAGCAACGUGGAUCCUGGCUGACUGAAGCCUCCCACAAAUUUUGGUAAUGCUACUUCCAGUUACACAAGCAUGCAAUUAUGGGAUUUUAUACCAGAACACGGGGCCCAUCCAUGCACUCACACAGUGCCUUACAGAGCUGACUGCUGACAUAAAUGCUCUAUGUGGUCGUUUAGGGCCACAACAGUCCGUGGGCCGCACAAUUCAAGUUUUCAAUGUUCUUUUUGUGUGUUUUUGAUAGACAUUUUAAUUGUGCAUUAUUCACAGGGUGCAAAUUGCUUUUUCGAUACUGUUGUUCUGGCCGAUGAAAACCCCCACCACUGCGAGGUUUAAUAACAUUAAAUACAUUAUUCCAGUGUAUUAAAUAAAUAAAGUGUACUUUUAGAUGUGACUACAACAAAUUAUCGAGUUCACUGUAAAUUCACAUUAUCCACCGCUUCGCCGGUUUGAGCUGCCAUUAAUUUAACGGAAGUGAGAAGUCUGCAGAAAAAGCAAAGACCCAUGGGAUAGCCUUCCAGCUGAAGGAUGCAUCAGACAUUGCCUUCAAAUAUAACCAAAAUAAGGCACCUCAGAAGGAUGCAUUUUUUGAUGACUUUGGUUUGUGACAUGCCUACAAAGGACAAGUGUGAAAGAAUUGUGAAAAUUCUGUCUUCAAAUGCUGCCUCUAAGGCAGCUGACUUCAUAUUGAGGCACAGCAUAUGGGACCUUAACAGAUAACAGACUGUCGGGCUCAUCCAUGCACUAGAACAGUGCCUUAACAGAUACCAGACUGUGGUGCCCAUCCAUGCACUAGAAUAAUGCCUUAACAGAUACCAGACCAUAGAGCCCAUCUAUACACUAGUACAGUGCCUUAAGGAUGAGCCAUCCAACAGCCCCAUUAUUUAUUUAUUUUUUCAAAAGGAGAGCCUUCCCUCCUUUCAAAUUUUUUAGUUAUUCAGACAGGGAAAAAGCAGAGUGGCUGGCCGACAGAAGGGAUGAUAGCUCAGAGGGUGCCCCAGCAGGGGAUUUUGUACACGGACUUAAGACUAGGCUGUCCUAUAGCUGGCUCCACAUAUCUCACUCCCAGUAUUACAUUAUUAAUCACUGCACAGACUAAAGUUUGCUAAAAUAUAUGGCAUUACCAACAAAAAUUUGCGAUCCUGGGAGAAUCAUUGUAAGUAAAUUAUUUUGCUUAUAUUUUUAAUGUCAUUAUUUUAAACUAAAUUAUUGUAUCUGUAAUACUAUAAGUAAUAUAAUAUAAUAUGUAAUGCUUCAUAUAUGGAAAUCUAGCCCAAUAAAAUCUAUCUUAAAGGCAUACUACACAGGAUUUCAACCUCUCCCACUUACCCUGAGGACCCCACCCAAUGUAGCUAGCUGGAUGGGUAACGUUAGUACUGUGAAAUGUGCAGCCAUGCACAACAGUAAGAAGGCAAAUCUGAUUAUAGCUUAAUUAAUUCCAAUAACGUAAUAGUAGUCUUAUUGUUGGAACCUUUAUUUAUAAAAUGUCAGAUCCUCGUGAAAGCAGCUUUAUUGUGUCUAGCUUCACACUGCAGGUAACGUCACUUACAGGUCCAACAGAAAACAAGCCAACCACAUUGAUUUUCAUCCCCUUGACAAAUUUCAGCAGACGCCGCCGAGGAUAAAGCAGUUCAGUGGUUAACUCUAGUUCUUGAAAGAGCCCUGUCAACUUGUCCUUUUGCUUUGCUGUAUCUGGACUUCUUUGCAAGCUAGCUAGCAACAAGCACUCCACUGAAACCUAAUCCCACCCCACAGGCCCUUCAGCCACACCCACCCCUAACACAAAAGUGCCAUACCCAGAAACGUCCCGAACACAUUUUAGAAUAACAAAUACAGCUAAAGAUGCAAAUAAGACAGAGAUUGCCAGUGCAUCAUAUGCCUUAGCAUGGUUAUGAUAUUUUCUUGGUUAAAAAAACCGGCACAGUAUGUCUUUAAUUCAAAUUAUGGAAUCAUUUUAUAAUUUUUUUCUUUUGUCAACAAUCAAAUAUUUUGCUCUUAACUUCAAUGAACUCAUAUGUGUUGCUGCAGAACACCCUGCAUUGAUGUGUUUCAUUGUAUUCGCCUACAUCCUGAAUGCAGUACUGGCUUUUGACCACAGGAGAAAUUUACCUGGAGUACCUCAUGUCCUAGUAUAUUUGUUUGGUUCUGCUGUCCUAAGUAUUCUUAAUUCAAUUGCUCUGGCAACAGAAGUCUUUCUGAAAACA